rnacentral:rRNA from 1 species
GACGAACGCUGGCGGCGUGCUUAACACAUGCAAGUCGUACGGUAAGGCCCUUUCGGGGGUCCACGAGUGGCGCACGGGGGAGUAACACGUGAGUAACCUGCCCACAACUUUGGGAUAACGCUAGGAAACUGGUGCUAAUACUGGAUAUGUGCUCCUGCUGCAUGGUGGGGGUUGGAAAGCUCCGGCGGUUGUGGAUGGACUCGCGGCCUAUCAGCUUGUUGGUGGGGUAGUGGCCUACCAAGGCGGCGACGGGUAGCCGGCCUGAGAGGGUGACCGGCCACAUUGGGACUGAGAGACGGCCGAGGCGGCGACGGGAGGCAGCAGUGGGGAAUAUUGCACAAUGGGCGCAAGCCGGAUGCAGAAACGCCGCGUGCGGGAUGACGGCCUUCGGGUUGUAAACCGCUUUCAGCAGGGACGAAGCUUUUUGUGACGGUACCUGCAGAAGAAGCACCGGCUAACUACGUG